UACGGGGGGGGCAAGCGUUGUUCGGAAUUACUGGGCGUAAAGGGCUCGUAGGCGGCCAACUAAGUCAGACGUGAAAUCCCCAGGCUUAACCUGGGAACUGCGUCUGAUACUGGAUGGCUUGAGAUUGGGAGAGGGAUGCGGAAUUCCAGGUGUAGCGGUGAAAUGCGUAGAUAUCUGGAGGAACACCGGUGGCGAAGGCGGCAUCCUGGACCGGCAUUGACGCUGAGGCGCGAAAGCCAGGGGAGCAAAGCGGG
rnacentral:rRNA from 1 species